GAUGAACGCUGACAGAAUGCUUAACACAUGCAAGUCUACUUGAUUCUACUUCGGUAGUUGAUGGUGGCGGACGGGUGAGUAACGCGUAAAGAAUCCGCCCUUUAGUUUGGGAUAACCUUUGGAAACGAAGGCUAAUACCGGAUAUUAUGGAAACGUCGCGUGACGACUCCAUGAAAGCUAUAUGCGCUAGAGGAGGACUUUGCGUCCCAUUAGUUAGUUGGUGAGGUAAUGGCUCACCAAGACCGCGAUGGGUAGCCGGCCUGAGAGGGUGAUCGGCCACAAGGGAACUGAGACACGGUCCUUACUCCUACGGGAGGCAGCAGUGGGGAAUAUUGGACAAUGGGCCACAAGCCUGAUCCAGCAAUUCUGUGUGCACGACGAAGGUCUUCGGAUUGUAAAGUGCUUUCAGUAGGGAAGAAAAAAAUGACGGUACCUACAGAAGAAGCGACGGCUAAAUAUGUGCCAGCAGCCGCCGUAACAC
rnacentral:rRNA from 1 species